rnacentral:rRNA from 1 species
UACAGAGGUCUCAAGCGUUGUUCGGAUUCAUUGGGCGUAAAGGGUGCGUAGGCGGCGCGGUAAGUCGGGUGUGAAAUCUCGGAGCUUAACUCCGAAACUGCAUUCGAUACUGCCGUGCUUGAGGACUGGAGAGGAGACUGGAAUUUACGGUGUAGCGGUGAAAUGCGUAGAUAUCGUAAGGAAGACCAGUGGCGAAGGCGGGUCUCUGGACAGUCCCUGACGCUGAGGCACGAAGGUCAGGGGGAGCAAACGGGG